UUUCAAACUCAUUCACUUCUUCCAAGUGGUAGGUUCCAUCACUACUACUACUACUUCUGCUACCACAACUCACACCCGCACGCUUUCUUUCUUCCCCAAUUCUCCUUCGCAUUUUCCCACCUUCCAAACACAAUUUCGAACAACCCUUUCUCCGUAUCACAAACUGGAAGAGAAACGCGAUAAUGGACUCGAGAGAAUCGCAGCCGCUAUCGCAUAUAUCACCGCAUCCACAACACCACCACCAUCACCAACCGCAACCAAACAUAUUACUCGGCGGCCCCACCUCCUCUUACUCCAACACUAGCGCCGCUCACGCCGCAAUGAAUAUGAUCAACCCCAACAUCCCUUCCACUGCUGCCGCUGGUUUCCCUUUUAAUUCAGUGGGCCCGCCACGCCCACAAUCUAAGCCUCUCUCUUCGGAUGGUGUUCUUGAUGGAUCAUCACCGCCUUCUUCAACGGGGAUGAGGUUUAGUAUGGAGCCGGCGAAGAAGAAGCGAGGGAGGCCCAGGAAGUACACCCCUGAUGGCAACAUUGCAUUGGGGUUGUCGCCAACCCCGAUUUCUUCUUCCCCAAAUUCAUUAGUCCAUGCCGAUUCUGGGGUUGGCACCCCUGGCGUGGCCUCUGAGCCUCCUUCUAAGCGUAAUAGAGGAAGGCCGCCAGGUUCUGGCAAGAAGCAGCUUGAUGCUUUAGGAGGGAUUGGAGGUGUUGGGUUUACACCUCAUGUGAUAACGGUGAAAGCAGGGGAGGACAUAUCAUCGAAGAUCAUGGCUUUCUCUCAGCAAGGGCCACGGACCAUUUGUAUUCUUUCUGCGAAUGGUGCCGUUUGUAAUGUUACCCUUCGUCAGCCAGCAAUGUCUGGUGGUACUGUGACAUAUGAGGGCCGGUUUGAGAUUAUUUCUCUAUCAGGUUCUUUCUUGCCUUCUGAAGAUAAUGGUAGUCGCAGCCGAGCUGGUGGUUUGAGUAUAUCAUUAGCAGGUUCAGAUGGUAGGGUUUUGGGUGGAGGAGUUGCUGGAAUGCUUAUAGCGGCAUCAACAGUACAGGUCAUUGUGGGCAGUUUUAUUGCAGAUGGAAAAAAAUCAAACUCAACAGUAUCAAAGUCUGGGCCUUCAUCAGCACCUGCAUCCCAAAUGUUGAAUUUUGGUGCGCCAUUGACAACAUCCAGCCCUCCUCAUGGAGCCUCUAGCGAAUCAUCUGACGAAAAUGGUAGUAGCCCACUUAAUCGAGAUCCUGGAAUCUAUAGUAAUGCAAGUCAACCCAUUCCUAAUAUGAAUUUUUACCAACUAUGGGCUACCCAAAAUCCACAUUGAAGAGCUUGAGGCAUUGACAUGGCAAUUGUACUUGCAUAGCAGAUUUGAGGUCAAAUCCUAAUGCUAACAUGCAUUGUUGAAUACAGGCUGCAGAUGAGCUUUUCAUAUUAUUUCCUUCAAGAGCAGGUUCCUCCUUCUGGAGUAGCUUUAGUUAUCUUUCUCAUAUGAUUUGGACACAUCUAUUAGUGGUAGCUGCAUGUCACCCCUUCUAAGUUUGGCUUAGUUCAAUUUACUAUUUAGGUAUAAUUGUUUUAGUUUUGUGUUUCCUGUUUCUAGUUUCUGCAAGUAAUAUACACUCUUUUAAGAGGUUAUGAAUGAAUAUAGCAGAAGCCUUCAAUGGGUUUGAGUGGGAUGUUUUAGCAACUGAUUUCCC
rnacentral:misc_RNA from 1 species